rnacentral:rRNA from 1 species
UAGGGAAUCUUCCGCAAUGGGCGAAAGCCUGACGGAGCAACGCCGCGUGAGUGAUGAAGGUCUUCGGAUCGUAAAACUCUGUUAUUAGGGAAGAACAAAUGUGUAAGUAACUAUGCACAUCUUGACGGUACCUAAUCAGAAAGCCACGGCUAACUACGUGCCAGCAGCCGCGGUAAUACGUAGGUGGCAAGCGUUAUCCGGAAUUAUUGGGCGUAAAGCGCGCGUAGGCGGUUUUUUAAGUCUGAUGUGAAAGCCCACGGCUCAACCGUGGAGGGUCAUUGGAAACUGGAAAACUUGAGUGCAGAAGAGGAGAGUGGAAUUCCAUGUGUAGCGGUGAAAUGCGUAGAUAUAUGGAGGAACACCAGUGGCGAAGGCGACUCUCUGGUCUGUAACUGACGCUGAGGUUCGAAAGCGUGGGUAGCAAACAGG